rnacentral:rRNA from 1 species
CAGUCGCCGCGGGAACACGAAGGGUGCAAGCGUUAAUCGGAAUUACUGGGCGUAAAGCGUGCGUAGGCGGUGAGUUAAGUCUGCUGUGAAAUCCCCGGGCUCAACCUGGGAAUGGCAGUGGAUACUGGCUCGCUAGAGUGUGUCAGAGGAUGGUGGAAUUCCCGGUGUAGCGGUGAAAUGCGUAGAGAUCGGGAGGAACACCAGUGGCGAAGGCGACCACCUGGACUGAUACUGACACUGAGGUGCGAAAGCGUGGGGAGCAAACAGGAUUAGAUACCCGAGUAGUCCCUGUCUCUUAUAA